rnacentral:rRNA from 1 species
GACGAACGCUGGCGGCGUGCUUAACACAUGCAAGUCGAACGGAAAGGCCCAGCUUGCUGGGUGCUCGAGUGGCGAACGGGUGAGUAACACGUGGGUGAUCUGCCUCUAACUUCGGGAUAAGCUUGGGAAACUGGGUCUAAUACCGGAUAGGACAAUCGUUUAGUGUCGGUUGUGGAAAGUUUUUUCGGUUAGGGAUGAGCCCGCGGCCUAUCAGCUCGUUGGUGAGGUAAUGGCCUACCAAGGCGUCGACGGGUAGCCGGCCUGAGAGGGUGGACGGCCACAUUGGGACUGAGGUACGGCCCAGUCUCCUACGGGAGGCAGCAGUGGGGAAUAUUACACAAUGGGGGCAAGCCUGAUGCAACGACGCCGCGUGGGGGAUGACGGCCUUCGGGUUGUAAACCUCUUUCGACAGGGACGAAGCUUUGGUGACGGUACCUGUAUAAGAAGCACCGGCUAACUACGUG